rnacentral:tRNA from 1 species
GAUGUUGUAGCUCAAUGGUAGAGCACAUUCUUAGGAUGUGUAAGGACCUGGGUUAAUACCCAGCAGCACA